CAUACUGCCGUGAAUACGUUCCCGGGCCUUGUACACACCGCCCGUCACACCAUGAGAGUUGGGGAUACCCGAAGCCUGUGAGCUAACAUUAUGAGGCAGCAGUCGAAGGUAGAAUCAAUGAUUGGGGUGAAGUCGUAACAAGGUAGC
rnacentral:rRNA from 1 species